CUACGGGGGGCACCAGUGGGGAAUAUUGCACAAUGGGCGCAAGCCUGAUGCAGCCAUGCCGCGUGUAUGAAGAAGGCCUUCGGGUUGUAAAGUACUUUCAGCGGGGAGGAAGGGAGUAAAGUUAAUACCUUUGCUCAUUGACGUUACCCGCAGAAGAAGCACCGGCUAACUCCGUGCCAGCAGCCGCGGUAAUACGGAGGGUGCAAGCGUUAAUCGGAAUUACUGGGCGUAAAGCGCACGCAGGCGGUUUGUUAAGUCAGAUGUGAAAUCCCCGGGCUCAACCUGGGAACUGCAUCUGAUACUGGCAAGCUUGAGGCUCGUAGAGGGGGGUAGAAUUCCAGGUGGAGCGGUGAAAUGCGUAGAGAUCUGGAGGAAUACCGGUGGCGAAGGCGGCCCCCUGGACGAAGACUGACGCUCAGGUGCGAAAGCGUGGGGAGCAAACAGGAUUAGAUACCCGGGUAGUC
rnacentral:rRNA from 1 species